GAGGGCGUGGAAACGAAACAUCACGAUAGUAUCUUUUGACAUCACGCUUCAAGACUCCGAUGUCAGGAGGCUGGUGAUGUCACAGAUUUUAACCUGGCUUGAACAUGCCAAGUGUACUGGCAUCUCAGCUGUUCUUCUCCAUCAUUUGACGGAUGAGCAUGAGUGGCCUCCCCCGAUUCAAUAUUAUGAGUAAAGUCAUGGGCCAUUGAGCCAAGAGGAGAGGAAUUCACCAUGGC